CCUACAGAGACAACGAAAAACUACACCACAUACACAAGCUAAAAUGCAGGGACCGGCGGGAGUCUCGGUUCCUAGCCUACCUCCUACAGGUUUUCCACGCAUCUAUAUAACAUCACCAAUGCAGAACAGGGCUCUAGCCCGCAGUGACACCGGCGCGGAGUCUAAGAGUUCCUCUCCCAGAAUGUGGCGUGACAACUGACACCCGAAUAGACCGAGGAGCUGGAACAGCCGCUCACAAUAAAGGAAUUAACACCAGCU